CCUACGGGAGGCAGCAGUGGGGAAUAUUGCGCAAUGGGCGAAAGCCUGACGCAGCGACGCCGCGUGAGGGAUGAAGGUCUUCGGAUCGUAAACCUCUUUCAGCAGGGAAGAACAGUCACUCUGCUAAUCAGCAGUGAAUUGACGGUACCUGCAAAGGAAGCACCGGCUAACUCCGUGCCAGCCGCCGCGGUAAUACGGAGGAUGCGAGCGUUAAUCGGAAUUACUGGGCGUAAAGCGCUCGUAGGCGGGAUGUCAAGUCAAGGGUGAAAUCCCCGCGCUCAACGUGGGAACUGCCUUUGAAACUGGCAAACUGGAGUGUGUGAGAGGAUAGUGGAAUUCCGGGUGUAGGAGUGAAAUCCGUAGAUAUCUGGAGGAACAUCAGUGGCGAAGGCGACUAUCUGGCACAUAACUGACGCUGAGGAGCGAAAGCGUGGGUAGCAAACAGGAUUAGAUACCCUUGUAGUC
rnacentral:rRNA from 1 species